rnacentral:tRNA from 1 species
GCUUCCGUAGCUCAGUUGGUUAGAGCUUCGUACUAAUACUUGAGCUUCACAGCCCAGUCUUGGUAAUGCGAAGGUCGCAGGUUCAAGCCCUGCCGGGAGCA